AUACGUAGGGGGCAAGCGUUAUCCGGAUUUACUGGGUGUAAAGGGAGCGUAGACGGCUUUGCAAGUCUGACGUGAAAAUCCGGGGCUCAACCCCGGAACUGCGUUGGAAACUGUGAGGCUUGAGUGCCGGAGAGGUAAGCGGAAUUCCUAGUGUAGCGGUGAAAUGCGUAGAUAUUAGGAGGAACACCAGUGGCGAAGGCGGCUUACUGGACGGCAACUGACGUUGAGGCUCGAAAGCGUGGGGAGC
rnacentral:rRNA from 1 species